AUUGAACGCUGGCGGCAGGCCUAACACAUGCAAGUCGAACGAGUGGCGGACGGGUGUGUAAUGUCUGGGAAAUUGCCUGAUGGAGGGGGAUAACUACUGGAAAUGGUAGCUAAUACCGCAUACCAUCAGAUGCGCCCAGAUGGGAUUAGCUAGGUGGUGGGGUAACGGCUCAACAAGGCGACGAUCCCUAGCUGGUCUGGGAGGAUGACCAGCCGCACUGGAACGUGGACACGGUCCAGACGCCUACGGGAGGCAGCAGAGGGGAAUAGUGCACAAUGGGCGCAAGCCUGAUGCAGCCAUGCCGCGUGUAUGAAGAAGGCCUUCGGGUUGUAAAGUACUUUCAGCGGGGAGGCGUUACCCGCAGAAGAAGCACCGGCUAACUCCGUGCCAGCAGCCGCGGUAAUUC
rnacentral:rRNA from 1 species